rnacentral:lncRNA from 1 species
GAUUGGUUGAAUUUUAUUUUAACAGUGAUUAAACGAGAUUACAACACAAAUGAUCGGUUGAAAUUCAUUUGAUCAUUUAUUAGGCAAGACAACGGCUUAAACGAUUAGUCGAAGCUCGUUAAAAAUGGAAGAUAAGAAUACCGAUAUGAAGAGGAAAGCAAACAAAGCAAGAACGGACCACUAAGGGUGCAUUGAAUGAAUUGAAAGCUUUGAAAUCG